CUGAACAUGUCACAUCUUGCAAGCUAAUUUUCAAAGUGAAGAACUGUUAAUGUAUGUUAGUUUAGAUUAAAAUUUUUAAAAAACUGCACUGCUAGAAAUGUGAAACAAAAUCAGAAAAUGCUAGAAAUAUCUAUUGGGAUUUGAAAAGAGAACAGAUUCAUGCUUCUAGUACAGAAUUUUCUUCACAGCCUUACUUGUACAUUAGAAAUGGAUGUUUUGUGGAUAAACAUGGACCUGCCACAAAUGUUCUCCCAGGAUGUGUGAAAUAGCAGAUUCCUAUUGUUUGAAAAACUCUGUACAAAUCAAGAAGGUACAGGUUUAAAACGAAUAAGAUGCAACAGAUACCUGUACAACAUGUCAUUAGAUAAAGCACCAUUUUAAAAAAGGAGAGUAUAUGCCCAGACACCUUUAGCUUUUGAACAUAUUUUUGUAUGAAUUUCAGUUUCAAACCACAGAUUCAAUGUCACAGAUUUCAUCACAGGAUGUAAGGUGUAAUAGAGGAAAACUGAAACAAGGAGGAAGAUGGAAAAAGUGACCUUGUAAGUCAAUGCGAGAAGCAUUAGAUGAUGUGCAUCAAAGAAGGAGUGAGCUGUUCUUGACAAUAGCAAAUUCAAAAGAUGAUGCAAACCAGAAACUUAACAUUGUGGUGCUUCUUCAUUAUCACUGAGAAAUUGGCCCAAACAAAGAAACAAGUUACCUCCCUUCUUUGUGGACAGAAACCUGGAGGUAUAACUGGAUAAGCUGGUGGAGAGGAGCGCAAUACUUAAUCCUAGUGUUGAUCACCAUACGCGUCAUGCCUGGACAAAGGUCUAGCCCAGGAGACCUCAGCUGUCUUUCCUGAUGCCAUUGCUGCAGAUAGCAUUGCUGCUGCUGAAAGCCGCCAUCUCUCCAAUCUUUCCCUAUGUCUUGGGAACAUGGGCAGGAUCCAUAUUGCAGGCCAAGCCAAGACACCGCCACAAACCGCUAAGAGAUUGGGCCAACAUACCAUCAAGAGCCCAGACCAGGCCUGUUGAGAGACCAGCUGAGACUCGUCAUAAGCCUCCAAGAGAUCAGGCUCACAUAUCACUGAGAGGCCUUCCUUUGGGAGGCACAGUGGCUCAGUGGUUAGCCCUGCUGCCUCACAGUGCCAGGGACCUGGGUUCGAUUCCAG